GACGAACGCUGGCGGCGUGCUUAACACAUGCAAGUCGAACGGAAAGGCCCUGCUUUUGUGGGGUGCUCGAGUGGCGAACGGGUGAGUAACACGUGAGUAACCUGCCCUUGACUUUGGGAUAACUUCAGGAAACUGGGGCUAAUACCGGAUAGGAGCUCCUGCUGCAUGGUGGGGGUUGGAAAGUUUCGGCGGUUGGGGAUGGACUCGCGGCUUAUCAGCUUGUUGGUGGGGUAGUGGCUUACCAAGGCUUUGACGGGUAGCCGGCCUGAGAGGGUGACCGGCCACAUUGGGACUGAGAAACGGCCCAGACUCCUACGGGAGGCAGCAGUGGGGAAUAUUGCACAAUGGGCGGAAGCCUGAUGCAGCAACGCCGCGUGCGGGAUGACGGCCUUCGGGUUGUAAACCGCUUUCGCCUGUGACGAAGCGUGAGUGACGGUAAUGGUAAAGAAGCACCGGCUAACUACGUG
rnacentral:rRNA from 1 species